GACGAACGCUGGCGGCGUGCUUAACACAUGCAAGUCGAACGGUGAAGGGACCGGUUUUUGCUGGUUCCGGAUGAGUGGCGAACGGGUGAGUAACACGUGAGUAACCUGCCCCCUUCUUCUGGAAAAUCGCAUGAACGUGUGGCUAAUACGGGAUAUUCUGCGCCUGCUGCAUGGAGGGUGUGGGAACGAUAUUGCUUCGGUGGGGGAUGGGCUCGCGGCCUAUCAGGUUGGUGGUGGGGUGAUGGCCUACCAAGGCGGUGACGAGUAGCCGGCCGAGGAGGAUCGGCGGCAAUAGAGGUGAGACACGGCCCACCAGACUACGGGAGGAAGCAGCAGUGAAGAAUAUUGCACGGUGGGCAGAAGGAUGAUGCAGCGACGCGGGGUGGGGGAUGGACGCCGUCGGGUUGUAAACCUCUUUCGGGGGUGAAGCAAGCCUGUCCCUUUUGUGGGUGGGUUGACGGUAGCUGGAUAAGAAGCGCCGGCUAACUACGUG
rnacentral:rRNA from 1 species